rnacentral:rRNA from 1 species
CACGUAGGGGGCAAGCGUUGUCCGGAUUUAUUGGGCGUAAAGAGCUCGUAGGUGGCUGAGUAAGUCGGAUGUUAAACUCCCCAGCUCAACCUCGGGACACCACCCGAUACUGCUCUGGGCUAGAGUCCGGUAGGGGAGCGUGGAAUUCCUGGUGUAGCGGUGAAAUGCGUAGAGAUCGGGAGGAACACCUGUGGCGAAGGCGGCCGACUGGGCCGACCCUGACGCGUGAGGCGGCGAAGGCGAUGGGGAGCGAACGGGGAUUAAGAU